rnacentral:rRNA from 1 species
AUUGAACGCUGGCGGCAGGCCUAACACAUGCAAGUCGAACGAGUGGCGGACGGGUGAGUAAUGUCUGGGAAACUGCCCGAUGGAGGGGGAUAACUACUGGAAACGGUAGCUAAUACCGCAUACUAUCGGAUGAACCCAUAUGGGAUUAGCUAGUAGGUGAGGUAAUGGCUCACCUAGGCGACGAUCCCUAGCUGGUCUGAGAGGAUUAUCAGCCACACGUGGACUGAGACACGGCCCAGACGCCUACGGGAGGCAGCAGUGGGGAAUAUUGCACAAUGGGCGCAAGCCUGAUGCAGCCAUGCCGCGUGUGUGAAGAAGGCCUUCGGGUUGUAAAGCACUUUCAGCGAGGAGGCGUUACUCGCAGAAGAAGCACCGGCUAACUCCGUGCCAGCAGCCGCGGUAAUAC